rnacentral:lncRNA from 1 species
AUUCCAGAAUUGACUAUUCCUGAAUUGUGCCGUUUCAUUCCAUUUUCAGUGAUCUGUCAAUGUCUAUAAAAGCGAUGGAACCCAAAAAGAGGGAUCUUUGACUGAGAGGAAGGUCUUGGAUUCAAUUGAUUAGGGUUAAUCUGAAAGCACAGGAAAGAGCUCUUGUUGUUCAAGAGAUAGCAAUCACCGAUGGUCAUGACAUAGCAACAUCACUAUCCCAGACUUUUGGCAUAUGCUGUGUCUUAAGAGUGCCAACAGAUUUCAGCUCCUACUCUCCUCAGGAACACAAACACAGACAUAUUGUUUUAACUGUUACAGAGCAACCUGCUAGUAGCUGCUGGGAUUCUAAUUCUGACCAGGAGAACAGAUCCCUUUAUGUGAG